rnacentral:lncRNA from 1 species
GCAGUUAGCUUGAGUCUCUCCCAGACCCAGCCAUUCAUCCACAUCAAAUAAAGACAGUCCAGGCCCCAGCUGGGCCUGCCCCGGGGCACCUCACAACACUCCUGGGAGAGGAAAUCCUGAGUCAACCUGGCUGGGAACCAACUGGAAACCAGGGACUUUAGUCAUGGCUGUCUGCUCUUGGGCGGGCCUUGCUGUGCUACCUGCUUCAUCUGAAGUACCGGUGACAAGUCUUCCACCUCCAGGUGUCUUUCUGUGAAAACGUUUCAUUGCGAGUAGCUAAAAGAAGGCAAGAAAACAGGGCCCUGGAGACAGAUCGCUACCCUCCCACCUGAGUUCAGAAUCACCCUGCAAACCGCCUCCUGGUAGAUAAGAGAUGUACAAAGAAUCAUCAAAAAGAUGCCAACAAGAAGUGAAAUUCCACGAGGAACUUGAAAAAUAUGUUCGCCUGUCUAUCUCAGGGCUCUGGUUCCAGCUCUAGCUCUGUGUCUAGUGAUUUCCUUUUGGGUUUGUUUGUUGCUUAUCCUGUAGAUCAUUGGCUGCCAAAAAUGAGACAAAGAUGUGGUCCUGGAUUGUACCAUCUUUCUCUGCUUUAAAGUCAGUACAAAUCACUUAAAAACAAAAUGAAACAAAACAUGUUGCCUGGCCCUUCAGGGGAAGCUGAGCCUGCUGGUCAGGAGCCAGGGCCUGGCAUUGAGUCCAGGAGAGCACGACUGUGGGCAUUUCCUGUGGUCGGGAGAUGACUCAGGAUGAACUCCGGCCUCUGAGCCACAGGCAGCCCCGGCACUUCACAGUUACCACCCACACCCCACCCUACUCUGGAGCCUGGCAGUCACACUGCCAGCUACAGGGAGCCUGUCCUGUGAGUUAGGCCUGCUCCAGAGGCCCAUGCAGUCAGGGUUCAGAAAUUAUAUUGAAGUCUAAAAGAAUUGAACUCUUUCUGUCUUUUAGUUUGUGGAAUAAAUCCAAAGACGAGAUUUUCCAGAAAAAUACCAUUGGAUGUGAAUUUAUUCUGAAUUGACUCUGAGAACUAGACUCGUUAGGCCCC